GUUGUAUGGUUAAGUGACUAAGCGUACAUGGUGGAUGCCUUGGCAGUCAGAGGCGAUGAAGGACGUACUAACCUGCGAUAAGCCGUGAGCAGUCGGUAAGAGACAUUACGACUCACGGAUUUCCGAAUGGGGAAACCCACUUAGCAUAAGCUAGGUAUCGCUACGUGAAUACAUAGCGUAGCGAGGCGAACCGGGAGAACUGAAACAUCUAAGUACCCCGAGGAAAAGAAAUCAACCGAGAUUCCCUCAGUAGCGGCGAGCGAACGGGGAUUAGCCCUUAAGCAUCUUGGAAGUUAGUGGAACGGUCCUGGAAAGGCCGGCGAUACAGGGUGAUAGCCCCGUACACGAAAACAACCUUGAUGUGAAAUCGAGUAGGGCGGGACACGUGACAUCCUGUCUGAAUAUGGGGGGACCAUCCUCCAAGGCUAAAUACUCCUGACUGACCGAUAGUGAACCAGUACCGUGAGGGAAAGGCGAAAAGAACCCCUGUGAGGGGAGUGAAAUAGAACCUGAAACCGUGUACGUACAAGCAGUGGGAGCCCUUCGGGGUGACUGCGUACCUUUUGUAUAAUGGGUCAGCGACUUACAUUUUGUAGCGAGGUUAACCGUAUAGGGGAGCCGUAGGGAAACCGAGUCUUAACUGGGCGUCUAGUUGCAAGGUGUAGACCCGAAACCGGGUGAUCUAGCCAUGGGCAGGUUGAAGGUUGAGUAACAUCAACUGGAGGACCGAACCCACUAACGUUGCAAAGUUAGGGGAUGACCUGUGGCUGGGGGUGAAAGGCCAAUCAAACUCGGAGAUAGCUGGUUCUCCCCGAAAGCUAUUUAGGUAGCGCCUCGGACGAAUACUACUGGGGGUAGAGCACUGUUUGGGCUAGGGGGUCAUCCCGACUUACCAACCCCAUGCAAACUCCGAAUACCAGUAAGUAAUAUCCGGGAGACACACGGCGGGUGCUAACGUCCGUCGUGAAGAGGGAAACAACCCAGACCGCCGGCUAAGGUCCCAAAGUUCUGGUUAAGUGGGAAACGAUGUGGGAAGGCUCAGACAGCUAGGAUGUUGGCUUAGAAGCAGCCAUCAUUUAAAGAAAGCGUAAUAGCUCACUAGUCGAGUCGGCCUGCGCGGAAGAUGUAACGGGGCUCAAACCAGGCACCGAAGCCGCGGAUUCACGCUAAGCGUGAGUGGUAGGGGAGCGUUCUGUAAGUCUGCGAAGGUGUAUCGAGAGGUAUGCUGGAGAUAUCAGAAGUGCGAAUGCUGACGUAAGUAACGAUAAAGGGGGUGAAAAGCCUCCUCGCCGGAAGACCAAGGGUUCCUGUCCAACGUUAAUCGGGGCAGGGUGAGUCGACCCCUAAGGCGAGGCCGAAAGGCGUAGUCGAUGGGAAGCAGGUUAAUAUUCCUGCACGACUUGUAAUUGCGAUGGGGGGACGGAGAAGGCUAGGUGGGCCAGGCGACGGUUGUCCUGGUGAAAGUGCGUAGGUGGUGUUUCUAGGCAAAUCCGGAGACACAACACUGAGACACGAGACGAACACACUACGGUGUGGAAGCCAUUGAUGCCCUGCUUCCAGGAAAAGCCUCUAAGCUUCAGAUUACAAGUCAUCGUACCCCAAACCGACACAGGUGGUCGGGUAGAGAAUACCAAGGCGCUUGAGAGAACUCGGGUGAAGGAACUAGGCAAAAUAGAACCGUAACUUCGGGAGAAGGUUCGCUCUUGACAGUGAAGUCCCUUGCGGAUGGAGCAGUUGGGAGUCGCAGUGACCAGAUGGCUGGGACUGUUUAUCAAAAACACAGCACUCUGCAAACACGAAAGUGGACGUAUAGGGUGUGACACCUGCCCGGUGCCGGAAGGUUAAUUGAUGGGGUUAGCGCAAGCGAAGCUCUUGAUCGAAGCCCCGGUAAACGGCGGCCGUAACUAUAACGGUCCUAAGGUAGCGAAAUUCCUUGUCGGGUAAGUUCCGACCUGCACGAAUGGUGUAACCAUGGCCAUGCUGUCUCCACCCGAGACUCAGUGAAAUCGAAUUCGCCGUGAAGAUGCGGUGUACCCGCGGCUAGACGGAAAGACCCCGUGAACCUUUACUACAGCUUGGCACUGAACAUUGAACCUACAUGUGUAGGAUAGGUGGGAGGCUUUGAAGGCGUGACGCCAGUUGCGCUGGAGCCGUCCUUGAAAUACCACCCUUGUAUGUUUGAUGUUCUAACGCAGGGCCCUGAAUCGGGCUCGCGGACAGUGCCUGGUGGGUAGUUUGACUGGGGCGGUCUCCUCCCAAAGAGUAACGGAGGAGCACGAAGGUUGGCUAAUCCUGGUCGGACAUCAGGAGGUUAGUGCAAUGGCAUAAGCCAGCUUAACUGCGAGACGGACAGGUCGAGCAGGUACGAAAGUAGGUCAUAGUGAUCCGGUGGUUCUGAAUGGAAGGGCCAUCGCUCAACGGAUAAAAGGUACUCCGGGGAUAACAGGCUGAUACCGCCCAAGAGUUCAUAUCGACGGCGGUGUUUGGCACCUCGAUGUCGGCUCAUCACAUCCUGGGGCUGAAGUCGGUCCCAAGGGUAUGGCUGUUCGCCAUUUAAAGUGGUACGCGAGCUGGGUUCAGAACGUCGUGAGACAGUUCGGUCCCUAUCUGCCGUGGGCGUUGGAUGAUUGAAGGGAGUUGCUCCUAGUACGAGAGGACCGGAGUGAACGAACCUCUGGUGUUCGGGUUGUCACGCCAGUGGCACUGCCCGGUAGCUAAGUUCGGAAUCGAUAACCGCUGAAAGCAUCUAAGCGGGAAGCGAGCCCUGAGAUGAGUCAUCCCUGACCCCUUGAGGGUCCUAAAGGGCCGUUGGAGACCACAACGUUGAUAGGUGGGGUGUGUAAGCGCGGCGACGUGUUGAGCUAACCCAUACUAAUUACCCGUGAGGCUUAACCAUACAACACCCAAGAAGUGUU
rnacentral:rRNA from 1 species